UUCCUACGGGGCGCAGCAGUGAGGAAUAUUGGUCAAUGGGCGAGAGCCUGAACCAGCCAAGUCGCGUGAGGGAAGACGGUCCUAUGGAUUGUAAACCUCUUUUGCCUGGGAGCAAAAAGCGGUACGUGUACCGCAUCGAGAGUACCCGGAGAAAAAGCAUCGGCUAACUCCGUGCCAGCAGCCGCGGUAAUACGGAGGAUGCGAGCGUUAUCCUGAUUUAUUGGGUUUAAAGGGUGCGCAGUCUGCGAGUUACGUCAGCUGUAAAAUUUCGGGGCUCAACCCCGACGAUCCGUU
rnacentral:rRNA from 1 species